rnacentral:rRNA from 1 species
UUUAAGUGGAGAGUUUGAUCCUGGCUCAGAACGAACGCUGGCGGCGUGCCUAACACAUGCAAGUCGAACGAGAAAUCGGGCGCUCAGGCAACUGAGUGCCGGAGAGUAAAGUGGCGCACGGGUGAGUAACGCGUGGGUAACCUACCCUUGAAUCUGGAAUAACCCCGCGAAAGCGGGACUAAUACCGGAUAUGGUUCCAUUAGCCCAGGCUUUUGGAAUUAAAGGUGACCUCUUCAUGAAAGUUGCCGUUCAGGGACGGGCCCGCGUACCAUUAGCUUGUUGGUAGGGUAAUGGCCUACCAAGGCGACGAUG